AACUUUCAAUAGAAGAGAUUGUGCUGGAAAAUGCGUGGAAAGUCUGCUGUAUAGAUCGGCAUAGAAAUAAUUUGGCCCAAGGGCGCUUGCGGUAAUUGCCUGCCCUCCAGCAUUUUGCAGAUGAAAACUGGGACACAUUCAGCCAAGCAAUAUCAGAGUGUGCUCAAGAUGGCAAAAGUUAGUAAUAAGGCUCCACAGCAUUCCAUCCCAGGUUUUGACUCCCUUAGUUUAAUGUUGGCAUUGCAAAAAAAAAAAAAAAAUGGCAGCAGUAAACGUUUUCUGAAUGCCACCCAUUUACACAAAGCUGUUAGCAACAACGGGCAGUGUUUACAGCAGACUCUAUAGAAAAUGGUACAAAAAGGAAAAUCGGCCACUUUAGCAAGCCUUUCAAAUGCUGAUUUGUUAUCAGUAAAUGUUUGAUUUUUUUAUACCUAUUCUAUUCACUUAUAUCCCUGGGGUCAAGUAAACAUUUUUUGGGCAGAAAAGGGUCACAAAAAUAUUUUUCAGGAGGAAAGAAUGACAAGUGGGAAAAGUUGAAGAAAAAGCUCUAGGGAACUCUCCCUCCUCCUUUAUUCUGUGUGGUACACAUUCAUAUUUCAUCAUAUUAAACACAGAGCUCCAUUUGUAUAUUGUUUAAUAUGGAGAUGUACAAAUGUGAAACUACUCCAGGGAACUUUGGAAAAGACGAAGGUCUGAAAGUAUAUUUAAGACUGUAAAACAUUCCCCGCACUAACAAUAAUGGCAUCUUAAUUCACCAGUGUAUCAACCAACAGGACGCUAUUUCAAGCAAUAAACUGGGCAUCUAUUAUGCCGAAUGGCUCUGAAAUGACUUUGCCAAAUGCAUCAAAGCAUCCCUAGUUGGAGACGAAGUUUGCAAAUCUAAUAGAAAUGCUGUGGGAUUGCAGUGCAGUUCAGCAUGGAAAAUAAGUCCCUACCCAAAGGACGCACUGCUCCUUGAAUUUAUUCACUGAUGCGGUCUGUUAUUUUUCUGUUAAAUAAAAGUUAUCUAAACAGACAUUUGCAACAAGAGUGGGUGGUAUCCAGAAGCAGCGAGGACACAUUGUUCCCUGACUUGUAACCAACUCCAUUGGAGAUGGGCAACUGCUAGAUUUGGAGAACCCCCUUGGUCCUCCAUGGUACAUCAUUAUUGUUACUUCCACAUGCAGUUUGACAUGGUUUAACUGCCAUGGCUCAAUGAUACAGAAUAUAAUGCAUUUACACUGCAUUAUAUAGUAGUGUAGAUGAGCCCUUAGUUUGAAUAAAACUGGAGACCUGCCUCAACUCCUUAGUCAAAACUGGAUUUACCUGAGCUUUCAAGGAAAGACAACAUUUCACCCAUUCCCAUGCUCAACCUAUCAGCUAAGUAUAAACCCAUUUGACACUUUUGGAUUAGAUUAGCAGCAACUGAAGUAAGCUGAAAAUAAGGGGGGAAAUUGGAAGGAUGGAAUAGAAACCAAGACAUUUCAAAGCAGUUGAAAACUGGGACUGUGCUUGCAAAAUUAGGACACUUGAAAGGUGUGAUAUGCUUCACGGGCGAUCUCUCCCUGUACCCAGAAC
ensembl:lncRNA